GAGGGCAGCUGUUACCCAGGCCCUGCACCUCCAUCUUCGCAGAGUCUCAUGGGAAACAGAUUUCAAAUGACAACAGACAGCAAGACUGAGAAACUACGAAAGAUCAGCCUGCCUCAUUUACUGUAAGAAUACAGCAUAUUCCCAGCUACUCAGGAAGCUGAGGCAAGAGAAUCGCUCGAACCUGGGAGGCCAAGGUUGCAGUGAGCCGAAAUCACACCAUUGCACUCCAGCCUGGGCAACAAGAGCGAAACUCCAUCUCAAAAAAAAGAAAAAAAAAGAAUACAGCAUAUACUGCAUAUAACAUAUAAAAUAUGUGUUAAUCAACUGUUUAUGGUAUGGGAAGAAGUGUUUGGAGCUGAGAUGACUUGGCAGGGAGAAGAAUCCAUUGGGACAUUCAAUAACUUGGCAUUGAGAGUGUUUUCGGCACCAUGCUGUCCUCGGAAUAGUGUUAGAAUUUAUGUAAACACAGAUGUGACUUGUGCCUUGAAGGAGAAUACAGUCUUCCCAGGAGAGACAUGCAAAACCAUCAUAGAUAAACAGCAAGAAAACAGCAUCAAGGAUGUACGUGCACAGGGCAGAAUGUAAACUGGAUGUAAAACAAUGCAUUUGAGAGCAGUGAGAAAGGAACUUGGUUCUGGUCUCAACUCUGCCACCCACAGCUGUGUGACUAUAUCUCUGUCACACUGCCUCUCAGGUCUUCAACUUUAUCGUCUCAUACUGAGCAAGAGAUAGUCUGGACAGUUUAUGCUUCUAGAAUGGGGAGACAAGAAGAAAAGAAAGAUAGAUACCCAAGGACUUCAGUGACUGGCUCAGGAAGAGUUACUCAACAGCCAGGGGGCCAGCAUGAGACCAGGGGCAAGAAGCUGGGACUUGGAACAGGAAGGAAAGGUGCUCAGCUGGCUAACCUAGAGGAAAGUGAUUGGCUGGAGUGUCUGGUUUAUCUGUUUCAGGGAUGGUUAGAGAUUGCCCUGUUAAUAGGCAAAAAUUGUUGCCUUAAAAAAUCUAGAAUCUAAAGGGGUCUUUGACAUAAUCCAGAAUAACAAGUCCCAGAGAUUAUUUUACAGAAUGUUAGUACCUCAUGAUGUUAAUAGAUAUAUAACAAAACAGACUUCUUUGCCACAAGACUUCUCAGAACCUUUAACAGUUUAUGAUUUUCCCAAAGGACAGAGAGUAUGCAGCAUUGCCCAGACUUGUUUAACUGUGAACACCUG